CGGAGGGUGAAAGCGUUAUCCGGAUUCACUGGGUUUAAAGGGUGCGUAGGCGGAUAGGUAAGUCCGUGGUGAAAUCCUGCAGCUUAACUGCAGAACUGCCGUGGAUACUAUCUAUCUUGAAUGUCGUGGAGGUUAGCGGAAUAUGUCAUGUAGCGGUGAAAUGCUUAGAUAUGACAUAGAACACCCAUUGCGAAGGCAGCUAACUACGCGAUAAUUGACGCUGAUGCACGAAAGCGUGGGGAUCAAACAGG
rnacentral:rRNA from 1 species